UCCCUGGUGGGCCAGUGGCUAAGACUCCUCAUUCCCAAUGUGGGUGCCUGGGUUCGAUUCCUGGUCAGGGAU
rfam:TPA: Bos taurus chromosome 20, whole genome shotgun sequence.